rnacentral:lncRNA from 1 species
UCGUCGUCCACGGCCACUGCUCAACCACCAGUCGCCACCGCCGCCAUCCACUUCCAAUGUGCUUCCACCGCCUGCCGUUGUCCACAUCUAUCACUAUGCCCUCAACGACAUCCAUGCCAUCCAAGGAGAUCACCCUCUGCCCAGACCCGAAGACGACCAGCUGCUGCGGAGCUCUUGAAUCAUGGAUUGGAUAGUGGAGUGAGUGAACCUGCCGGCUACGGGGAGCUCGCCGGACCAGAAGAUGAUGAAAUUGAAGUGUUGUCAAGUUUCUCCGAGGUAAAGCCCGGUGAGGAUGGCAAACAUGGAGUGAAGAGGUUAUGGUGUAUGCUGUGGCCUGAAGAAGGGCCUCCUAUGAUGGAAAUUGUGAGCAAGGCUGGCCCUCGAAUCCUUUUUUUUCCCCUGAUGAAUAUGUAAUUUCGAUAUGCUGCUGGAAUCGGUUGAAAUCUAUUUGUAACUCCACUGUCUCAUUUCCCCAUCAUAUAUGUAUCCAUUGCUGAAAGAGAUGUAAAGAGGUAAAUAGAUAGCGUGUACCCGAGCGGACUAUGCAUCAUUGGAUUGUAUCUAUGUUUCUGAUGGUCUUGUGGGUUUGAGGCCUUGAGCUUGAGAAUGUAUUUUUUUUCUUU